rnacentral:rRNA from 1 species
UAUUAUUUUAUAUGUAAUUUGAAGGUCUUGGGUAUUAGUAGUUAAGUUCUAUAAACUCAAAGAAUUUGGCGGUAUUUUAGUCUUUUCAGAGGAAUCUGUCCUGUAAUUGAUAAUACACGAUUUGUUAUAUCUAAUUAAAUUGUUUGUAUACCGCCGUCACAAGAAUAUUUUAUGAGGGUUAAAAUUUUCUUAGAUUUUAAGUGAAUGUUAUGUCAGGUCAAGGUGCAGCUUAUGAUUGGAAUGGAGAUGGAUUACAAUAAAAUUAUUUAAAUGGAUAUGAAUUUUAAAUGAUUUAUUGAAGGUGGAUUUGAUUGUAAAUGUAUUUUAAUUGUUAAUUUGAUUUUGGCUCUAAAAUGUGUACAUAUCGCCCGUCACUCUCGUUUUGUAAUGAG